rnacentral:lncRNA from 1 species
UAGAUAUUGACUUGAUUAACAAUUUAACUUCUUGUCAGAUUUGCUCUAGAUGCUUUGGUUUCAUAGUUAUAAGCCAAAAACUGCAUUUUACCCCUAUGUUCUAUUUUUAGCCGUGGCGGCCAUCUUGGUUGAAUGGCCAGGUCAUCGGACACAUUUUUCAAACUAGAUACCCCAAAGAUGAUUGUGGCCCCCUAGUAGUUUCAGUGGAGAUUUUGUAAAAGAUUACUUAAGAUUUAUGAAAAAUGGUUAAAGAUUGACUAUAAAGGGCAAUAACUCCUAAAGGGUCAAAUGACCAUUUUGGUCAUGUUGACUUAUUUGUAGAUCUUACUUUGCUGAACAUUAUUGCUGUUUACAAUUUAUCUCUAUCUAUAAUAAUAUUCAAGAUAAUAACCAAAAACAGCAAAAUUUCCU